rnacentral:rRNA from 1 species
AGCCUGAACGCUGGCGGCGUGGCUAAGACAUGCAGGUCGUACGGGUGUAGCAAUACACCAGUGGCGGACGGGUGAGUAAUGUAUCGCUAACGUACCCCAGAGUCUGGGAUAGCUGCCCGAAAGGGCAGGUAAUACCAGAUGACAUAUUCUUGCUGCAUGGCGAGAAUCUCAAAGGGAAACCGUUCUGGGGAGCGGGGCGAGUAUACGGUAUCAAGCUAGUUGGUAGGGUAACGGCCUACCAAGGCGACGACGCGUAGCCGGACUGAGAGGUUGGCCGGCCACAUUGGGACUGAGACACUGCCCAGACUCCUACGGGGGCUGCAGUAACGAAUCUUCCGCAAUGCACGCAAGUGUGACGGAGCGACGCCGCGUGUGGGACUAAGUCCUUCGGGAUGUAAACCACUGUCAGGGGUUAGAAAGUUCUGAUCAACCCCAGAGGAAGGCACGGCUAACUCUGUGCCAGCAGCCG